rnacentral:rRNA from 1 species
AUACGUAGGGAGCGAGCGUUGUCCGGAAUUACUGGGCGUAAAGGGCGCGUAGGCGGCGCUUCAAGUCGUCUGUCAAAUGAGAGGGCUUAACCCUUUUUCGCAGACGAAACUGGAGAGCUUGAGAAGCAGAGAGGCAAACAGAAUUCCUGGUGUAGCGGUGAAAUGCGUAGAUAUCAGGAAGAACUCCGAUCGCGAAGGCAGCUCCGCGGGCCGGAACUGACACUGAUGCUCGAAAGUGCGGGUAUCAAACAGGAUUAGAUACCCUGGUAGUCCGCACAGUAAACGAUGAAUACUCGCUGUUUGCGAUACACUGUAAGCGGCCAAGCGAAAGCGUUAAGUAUUCCACCUGGGGAGUACGCCGGCAACGGGGAAACUCAAAUGAAUUGGCGGGG